rnacentral:rRNA from 1 species
GACGAACGCUGGCGGCGUGCUUAACACAUGCAAGUCGAACGGAAAGGCCCUGCUUUUGUGGGGUGCUCGAGUGGCGAACGGGUGAGUAACACGUGAGUAACCUGCCCUUGACUUUGGGAUAACUUCAGGAAACUGGGGCUAAUACCGGAUAGGAGCUCCUGCUGCAUGGUGGGGGUUGGAAAGUUUCGGCGGGUGGGGAUGGACUCGCGGCUUAUCAGCUUGUUGGUGGGGUAGUGGCUUACCAAGGCUUUGACGGGUAGCCGGCCUGAGAGGGUGACCGGCCACAUUGGGACUGAGGUACGGCCCAGACGCCUACGGGAGGCAGCAGGGGGGAAUAUUGCACAAUGGGCGGAAGCCUGAUGCAGCAACGCCGCGUGCGGGAUGACGGCCUUCGGGUUGUAAACCGCUUUCGCCUGUGACGAAGCGUGAGUGACGGUAAUGGGUAAAGAAGCACCGGCUAACUACGUG